rnacentral:rRNA from 1 species
CCUACGGGAGGCAGCAGUAGGGAAUCUUCCACAAUGGGCGAAAGCCUGAUGGAGCAACGCCGCGUGGGUGAAGAAGGUCUUCGGAUCGUAAAACCCUGUUGUUAGAGAAGAAAGUGCGUGAGAGUAACUGUUCACGUUUCGACGGUAUCUAACCAGAAAGCCACGGCUAACUACGUGCCAGCAGCCGCGGUAAUACGUAGGUGGCAAGCGUUAUCCGGAUUUAUUGGGCGUAAAGGGAACGCAGGCGGUCUUUUAAGUCUGAUGUGAAAGCCUUCGGCUUAACCGGAGUAGUGCAUUGGAAACUGGGAGACUGGAGGGCAGAAGAGGAGAGUGGAACUCCAUGUGUAGCGGUGAAAUGCGUAGAUAUAUGGAAGAACACCAGUGGCGAAAGCGGCUCUCUGGUCUGUAACUGACGCUGAGGUUCGAAAGCGUGGGUAGCAAACAGGAUUAGAGACCCCUGUAGUC